GAGCUCCUGGCUGGCUGGCUGCCGGGUACGACGCAGCCGGCUGGAUGGAAUUGGACACGCGCUGCGGGGAGAAGGCGCAAACAUGCCGGGAGAAACGGAUCGCGUUGGCGGGCUCGUUUGUUGGACCACCUGGACCAGGUGCCAUGCCAGGAUGAUGGUGGUGAGCUGGGAGCGGUCGCCCCACUCGGCGAGGAAGGUGAGGGUGAGCGCCUGGACGAAGAUGGGCGAGAUGAUGCUGUGCCACCUGGACGAUGACGGUGGCAAAGUCGAGCCGGACCCCGCCUCAACAUCCGGCACGCCAUUGGCCAUUUUGGACCGUUGCAGCUGAGCAAGAAACAAUAAAGAGAGAGUUGUUAUCCCGCU